rnacentral:lncRNA from 1 species
AACAUCAAGAUGGAAAAGUGGGGAGCAUUCCGCACAUAGGGCACUGCCAGUACAAAGACACGAAUAUGGGAGAUGGAGUGAAUUGUUCAAGGAACUGUCUAGAGACAUCAAGGAAAGUGUAAUUAACCAAUUAGAGGAUUAAAAUCGGGGACCAUUACCAGCCGCUGCUCAGACUCCAUUGGCCAUAAAGCGUAGAGGAUCC